GACGAACGCUGGCGGCGUGCUUAACACAUGCAAGUCGAGCGGUAAGGCCCUUUCGGGGGUACACGAGCGGCGAACGGGUGAGUAACACGUGGGUGACCUGCCCUCAGCUCUGGGAUAAGCCUGGGAAACCGGGUCUAAUACCGGAUAUGACUCCAUGACGCAUGUUGUGGGGUGAGAGCCUUGUGCGGCUGAGGAUGGGCCC
rnacentral:rRNA from 1 species